rnacentral:rRNA from 1 species
UGGGGAAUUUUGGACAAUGGGCGAAAGCCUGAUCCAGCAAUGCCGCGUGUGUGAAGAAGGCCUUCGGGUUGUAAAGCACUUUUGUCCGGAAAGAAAUCCUUGGCUCUAAUACAGUCGGGGGAUGACGGUAUGGAAGAAUAAGCACCGGCUAACUAUGUGCCAGCAGCCGCGGUAAUACGUAGGGUGCAAGCGUUAAUCGGAAUUACUGGGCGUAAAGCGUGCGCAGGCGGUUUGCUAAGACCAUGUGAAAUCCCCGGGGCUCAACCUGGGAACUGCAUUGGUGACUGGCGGGCUAGAGUACGGCAGAGGGGGGUAGAAUUCCACGUGUAGCAGUGGAAAUGCGUAGAGAUGUGGGGGGAAUACCGAUGGCGAAGGCAGCCCCCUGGGCCAAUACUGACGCUCAUGCACGAAAGCGUGGGGGAGCAAACAGGAUU